rnacentral:rRNA from 1 species
AGAGUUUGAUCCUGGCUCAGAACGAACGCUGGCGGCGUGGAUAAGACAUGCAAGUCGAGCGCUCACUUCAGGGUAGCAAUAUUCUGGAGUGGGAGCGGCGCAAGGGUGCGUAACACGUGGGUAAUUUGCCAAAAAGUUUGGGAUAACUCGCUGAAAGGCGAGCUAAUACCGGAUGUGAUCAUCGGGCGGCAUCGUUUGAUGAUUAAAGUUGGGGACCGUAAGGCCUGACGCUUUUUGAUAAGCCCGCGGCCUAUCAGCUAGUUGGUGAGGUAACGGCUCACCAAGGCUAAGACGGGUAGCUGGUCUGAGAGGACGACCAGCCACACUGGAACUGAGACACGGUCCAGACACCUACGGGUGGCAGCAGUCGAGAAUUUUUCACAAUGGGCGAAAGCCUGAUGGAGCGACGCCGCGUGGRGGAUGAAUGGCUUCGGMCCGUAAACCCCUGUCAUUUGCGAACAAACCUUGCUAUUUAAAAGAUGGCGAGYUGAUUGUAGCGAAAGAGGAAGGGACGGCUAACUCUGUGCCAGCAGCCGCGGUAAUACAGAGGUCCCAAGCGUUGUUCGGAUUCACUGGGCGUAAAGGGUGCGUAGGUGGUGAGGUAAGUCGGAUGUGAAAGCUCCGAGCUCAACUCGGAAAUGGCAUUGGAAACURCCUUGCUGGAGGUUUGGAAGRGGGAACUGGAAUACUUCGGUGUAGCGGUGAAAUGCGUAAA